UUCAUAGGUUAGGGAUUACAGAUUUAGUUAUUUUAGGAAAAUUGAGUAGUGGAGAUGCCGGGGAUUGAACCCGGGGCCUCAUACAUGCAAAGCAUGCGCUCUACCACUGAGCUACAUCCCCAGUGGCUUUCAUUUUGAGUAACACUAGGGCUAGGUGUACAGAUUAGGGUUUGGUAUCACAAUUUUUAUUAGAUUAGGUUAGGAAAAAACAGCAGUGGAGAUGCUGGGGAUUGAACCCAGGGCCUCAUACAUGCAAAGCAUGCGCUCUACCACUGAGCUACAUCCCCAGUGGCUUUCAUUUUGAGUAGCACUAGGGUUAGGUGUACAGAUUAGGGUUUGGUAUCACAAUUUUUAUUAGAUUAGGAAAAUUGAGUAGUGGAGAUGCCGGGGAUUGAACCCGGGGCCUCAUACAUGCAAAGCAUGCGCUCUACCACUGAGCUACAUCCCCAGUGACUUUUAUUGUGGGUUAGGUCUACAGGUCAGGGUUUGGGAUUACAGUGUAGAUUACAGGAAUUAGGGUUUUUGGUUUGGCUACGGUUAGAUUCAUAGGUUAGGGAUUACAGAUUUAGUUAUUUUAGGAAAAUUGAGUAGUGGAGAUGCCGGGGAUUGAACCCGGGGCCUCAUACAUGCAAAGCAUGCGCUCUACCACUGAGCUACAUCCCCAGACAUGCAGAACUGUAUUCUGGUUAGCCAGCUGGUAAGUAUUAUGGUUAAAGCUAAAUUUUGGCUACAUGUAGUAGUUUGAGGAAGGGUUUUUUUUCACAUUUUCCCAGUGAAAUACAAUUUUCAAAAUAAAAGACACAUUUCAAACACAUUUCUUUCUAUUUCUGUUAUUGAAUAUGUGCUAUUUUAGUUGUUUUUCCAUCGAUUUGAAUAGAAAAACUUUAUAUUUAAAAGAUAUUUAAAAGAACGCACAUGACUUCACUUAGGUUUAGAGUUCCAAUGAGGUUUUGGCUGGGGUUAGGUCUAUGGUUUGGGUAGGGUUAUGAAAACAGCAAGUCUUAGGGAUGUAGCAGUUAUAGCCUUACAUAUUUUGAUAUUUUUUCAAUGAAUACAUUAUUUAAAACUAUUUCUUUGCUUUUCAUUUAUUGAUGAUAUUCAUACUUCUUUUAAUUCAUUUAAAUAUAAAAAUCAGAUAUAACACCUAGGGCUAGAAAUAGGUUUUAGGUUUCAAAUUAGGAUUAGGUUUAGGAAAUAAUUUUUUUAACACAAAACUUUCCUCCAUGAGUUGGA